rnacentral:tRNA from 1 species
UCCCUGGUGGUCUAAUGGUUAAGACUCCAAGCUCCCAAUUCAAGGGGCCUGGGUUCGAUCCCUGGUCAGGGAA